AGCAGCCGCGGUAAUUCCAGCUCCAAUAGCGUAUAUUAAAGUUGUUGCAGUUAAAAAGCUCGUAGUUGAAUUUCGGGGUUCUACCGUUGGUCGGGCUUUGUCUGUACUGGCGUGUAGAAUUUCUACCUUCUGGGGAACCAUCACGUUAUUAAUUUAACGUGGUGGGAAACCAGGACCUUUACCUUGAAAAAAUUAGAGUGUUCAAAGCAGGCUUAUGUCUGAAUACAUUAGCAUGGAAUAAUAAAAUAGGACGGUGGUCCUGUUUUGUUGGUUUCUGAAUCACCGUAAUGAUUAAUAGGGAUAGUUGGGGGCAUUAGUAUUCAAUUGUCAGAGGUGAAAUUCUUGGAUUUAU
rnacentral:rRNA from 1 species